CCUACGGGUGGCAGCAGUAGGGAAUAUUGCGCAAUGGGGGAAACCCUGAUGCAGCGACUCCGCGUGAGUGAAGAGGUAUUUCGGUAGGUAAAGCUCUAUCAGCGGGGAAGAAAAUGACGGUACCUGACUAAGAAGCCCCGGCUAACUACGUGCCAGCAGCCGCGGUAAUACGUAGGGUGCAAGCGUUAUCCGGAUUUACUGGGUGUAAAGGGAGCGUAGACGGCAGGGCAAGUCUGGAGUGAAAUCCCAUGGCUUAACCAUGGAACUGCUUUGGAAACUGUGCAGCUAGAGUGCAGUAGAGGUAAGCGGAAUUCCUGGUGUAGCGGUGAAAUGCGUAGAUAGUAGGAGGAACACCAGUGGCGAAGGCGGUUUACUGGACUGUAACUGACGCUGAGGAUCGAAAGCGUGGGGAGCAAACAGGAUUAGAUACCCGGGUAGUC
rnacentral:rRNA from 1 species